rnacentral:snoRNA from 1 species
GCCUCUGAUGAUGAUGAUGAAAUUUUUUACUUUCGUUCUUCUGAAUUUUAUAUGUGGAAAAUAUAUGGAGACCUGAACUGAAGAGGC